CACGUAGGGCGCAAGCGUUGUCCGGAAUUAUUGGGCGUAAAGAGCUCGUAGGCGGUCUGUUGCGUCCGCUGUGAAAACCCGGGGCUUAACCCCUGGCUUGCAGUGGAUACGGACAGACUAGAGGUAGGUAGGGGAGAAUGGAAUUCCCGGUGUAGCGGUGAAAUGCGCAGAUAUCAGGAGGAACACCGGUGGCGAAGGCGGGUCUCUGGGCCGAAACUGACGCUGAGGAGCGAAAGCGUGGGGAGCAAACAGG
rnacentral:rRNA from 1 species